GACAGAGGUGCCAAGCGUUAUUCGGAAUCACUGGGCUUAAAGAGUCUGUAGGCGGCUGAGAAAGUAGGGUGUGAAAUCCCACGGCUUAACCGUGGAACUGCGCCCUAAACUACUCAGCUUGAGGGAGCUAGAGGUAAGCGGAACUGAUGGUGGAGCGGUGAAAUGCGUUGAUAUCAUCAGGAACACCGGAGGCGAAGGCGGCUUACUGGGGCUUUUCUGACGCUGAGAGACGAAAGCUAGGGUAGCGAACGGG
rnacentral:rRNA from 1 species